rnacentral:rRNA from 1 species
UACGAAGGGGGCUAGCGUUGCUCGGAAUCACUGGGCGUAAAGGGUGCGUAGGCGGGUCUUUAAGUCAGGGGUGAAAUCCUGGAGCUCAACUCCAGAACUGCCUUUGAUACUGGAGAUCUCGAGUCCGGAAGAGGUGAGUGGAACUCCGAGUGUAGAGGUGAAAUUCGUAGAUAUUCGGAAGAACACCAGUGGCGAAGGCGGCUCACUGGUCCGGUACUGACGCUGAGGUGCGAAAGCGUGGGGAGCAAACAGG